UACGAAGGGGGCUAGCGUUGUUCGGAUUUACUGGGCGUAAAGGGAGCGUAGGCGGAUUGAUCAGUCAGGGGUGAAAUCCCAAGGCUCAACCUUGGAAUGCCUUUGAUACUGUCGGUCUUGAGUCCGGGAGAGGUGAGUGGAACUGCGAGUGUAGAGGUGAAAUUCGUAGAUAUUCGGAAGAACACCAGUGGCGAAGGCGACUUACUGGACACAUAUUGACGCUGAGGUGCGAAAGCGUGGGGAGCAAACAGG
rnacentral:rRNA from 1 species